UCUUUGCAGCCUUGCGGUGCUGCCCCUGGCGGAGCACGUUGCUUGUGGGUACAGCAAGGCUGCAGAAAGCAACGCAAAGAAUGAAAAGGCGUGACUUCUGGAGGUUCAGGAGGUUCACGUGCGAUGUUCUUUGAACACACCCCUGCCUCCCCACGGCGGUGAUCGCCUCGUCCAGUAGCGGUUGCUUUUUCUUGAGGCAGGUACAGUAAUAGCCGGCAGCCAGAUAUUGUUUGAAAGGGGAAGCUUUUCCUUUCGAACACUGUUGGCUGUCACACUG